ACUCCUGCGGGAGGCAGCAGUGGGGAAUAUUGGACAAUGGGCGCAAGCCUGAUCCAGCCAUGCCGCGUGAGUGAUGAAGGCCCUAGGGUUGUAAAGCUCUUUCACCGGUGAAGAUAAUGACGGUAACCGGAGAAGAAGCCCCGGCUAACUUCGUGCCAGCAGCCGCGGUAAUACGAAGGGGGCUAGCGUUGUUCGGAUUUACUGGGCGUAAAGCGCACGUAGGCGGACUAUUAAGUCAGGGGUGAAAUCCCGGGGCUCAACCCCGGAACUGCCUUUGAUACUGGUAGUCUUGAGUUCGAGAGAGGUGAGUGGAAUUCCGAGUGUAGAGGUGAAAUUCGUAGAUAUUCGGAGGAACACCAGUGGCGAAGGCGGCUCACUGGCUCGAUACUGACGCUGAGGUGCGAAAGCGUGGGGAGCAAACAGGAUUAGAUACCCGAGUAGUCCC
rnacentral:rRNA from 1 species